rnacentral:rRNA from 1 species
AUCUACAGCCAUGCUACCCUGAACAAGCCCAAUCCCCUCUGAUCUCGGAAGCUAAGCAGGGUCGGGCCUGGUUAGUACUUGGAUGGGAGAACAUCUAGGAAGACCAGGUGCUGUAGGCA